ensembl:lncRNA
UGCGUAAUUAAGCUGCCUCGUCCGAGACGGUUUGAAUUCAUAUUUCAUUGCAGGUUAAGUUGUAUCGAAUAUCUCAGUUUUUUUAGUCCAAUACAUUUUAAAUAUUAUAUUUAAUAUUAUUUGUUGUGUACACUGUUGCAGCCGAGCACAAGCUAACGUUAGCUAGCUAUCUUGCUAGCUAACGUUAGCUAACGUUAUUUAACUUGCUAGCUAAAACUGCUAACAGCAUGGACGAACUUGAUGACGUCACGGUGUCGACUUUAAGAGGUAACGUAGUCAAAUAUACAUUUUUAACGUGGUUAUUAAUUUUUCGUCAUAUUUAUUAUGCACCAGUAACACCAAGAAAAAUCCCUUUUAAGUAAAAACCUACUUUGCAAUACUUAUGAUUCAUCAGAGAGGUUAAGAUCAGCUACAUUUAAACAGAUUAAGACUCGCAGUCCUCUCUAUAAAAUCGGUAGUAACUCUUAAUUCUGAACAGAUUUGAAUGGAAUGGUUUUAUUAUAAAUUGGAUAAAUUUAACUUUAUACUGGUUACGUGUUUCAAUUAAAUCCAGUUACUGGGGUGGAUCUACUCUGUUCUAUUAUACUAAAACAUUCGGAAUAACCACAACUUAAAAUAUAAAUUAUUUAGAAUGUAUGCUUUUAUGAGUUUCUAAAAAAUGUAGAUUGCUAUAUACAUUCAGUAAAUUUGAAUUAAAAUUGCUUCAGAAUUAAGAGAGUUACGACUGAUUAAAAUGUUUAAUUUACCACUCUGAUGUGAUGCAUAAUCCACUGAGGUAUGUCAUUUCUUUAUCUAUUGUUAUAUCAUGUGUAUUUACAUUUUUUGAUGAUGAAGUUCAUUCAUUUUCUGCUUGUUUAGUAAGUAUUUAUUUAACACCAUAAGGCAAUCACUAAACCUACCUUCAUUAUCACUAAAAGGAGAAUAUUAACACAAACUAUUUAGGAUUAUUGUUAUAACCUUAGUGGAGUUGUCAAUGCUGCAUCACAAUUUGUGUUAAGACAGUAUAAAUUAAAAGUUGCUUUUACAAAUACUUAAUUAUCUUUUAUUUUACAGGAAACUGUAGACUCAAAAUCAACGAGCAGUUCUACUUCUAUGAUUGGGUCACCCCUAUCUCAGACAUCCACUCAAGUAAAAAGAUGUCCCGCAAAGCACACAACACCUGAAAAUGUUGUGAAGUUAUCCUUCCCCGAAUAUGUAUUGCACACUGACACCAAACUAGAGCAAUGCCGAAAACAAUAUUUUGAGUUGGCGAAGGCCGGCGAAGAGAGAAACUGCCAAAUGUCAAAGGACCUCAGAUGUCGGCUCAUCCGAAACACCAUGACCAGUAUGAUCGCAAUCCUGAGGGCAACGGGGGACAGAGACAGAUACCCGUCAAAGCCAGAAAUAACAGCUAUGGCAAAGCGAACAGUGCUGUACUACCCCAUGCUGCAGGACCGAGACCUGAGCAGCAAGUAUGCAUGGGUAGGUCAAAUGCAUCCAGGUGCAUGUUUGAUGUUUGAAGCAUUUAUUUGAAUUUUUCUUGUCACAGGUUACUGUGUACUCACAGCUAUACAAAAGAUUGAAAAAUUUGAGAUCACCCCAAAAGACCAAUCCAAAGAGGCGCCGACUCGAGGAGCUAAAGUGCCAACCUGACUGACCCAGAUGAAUUUGAUUCAAGUGACUCAACAGUCAUUCUGGAUCUCCCCUCAAAAGGGGGUAGCAUUCAAGCAUUCAAGACUUCCCUUCUGAAGGGAGUAGCACCCCAGACUCGGGCAACAAUGCCAGAUAUGCCCGCAUCUUUGCGUAAGAAGAAAACUCCAAACCGUGAGUCCGUCUCUCAGCUCCUGGAUUUGGAAUUUUCAGCCAGAAGAGCAUUCAUUGAUUCUUUUUGCGAGGAGGACAGACACAAGAAAAUUCCAGAGGACAUUGGACAUGUGAUGGAGGAGCUUCAACGCAUUCUGGACAAAAAUAACAUCCAUUACAUUGAUGAGCUGAAGGGAAGAUGGGACGACUUCUGCCAGAAGGUGCAGUUUUUUGGUGUGUGGAAAAAGCUGCUGAAACCCUCAGUAGGAAUGGACAAAGGCUCUCAGUAUCCUACGUGUGCUGCCUUCAUUGUCCCCCUCUUCAUCUGCUCCUCUGAAGAAGUUAGGACAUGUGAGUGAGGCUCUUGUGCAUGUCCUCGAGGAAAAAGAAGACCCCAAUGACUAUUUGAAGAAACGUCGUCUCUCCUGCCCAGUCCUUAUUGUGAGUUUGUCCAACUGCCUCCUGGCUGUAGGAGAUGUGCUGAUAACUACGCUCCCAAAAGACAAGGUAACACAGGGUGUUUUAUACCUUACGGCCUACUAUUAUGCUCUACACCUUACUUACCCCAGGUGCGUAGCCACUCUGCUCUCUGUCAUAAAAACGGAGGUUCUCUUGGACACAAUCCAUGAGCGAGACCUCACACCAUCUUUCAAGAAGGGCAUGGCUGACUGGAAAGCCUUUGUUGGCAAGUAAAGCCGUUUCCAUUCUUAUUUAGCAAAUGUUUCCCAAUGUUAAGGUCGCAAUAAUAACAAUGUUGUUGAUCUAUUGAGGGACACAGUGGUCAAAUAUUUAUGUUAAUGUUAGCCCAAGACCCAUAACUUGUUGCAAUAAUAAGCACAUUGUAAGUGUAUUGAGGAGACAGAGGUCAGAUGAUUAUGUCUGACUGUAAUCCAUGUGUUACACAUAUAUGUCAUGUUUUGCUAUGUUUUUUUACUAUUAUUAGUAUUUUAUUACAGUGCCAUACACACUGCGCCAAAACAUGACUGGUGCUGCAGGCACAGUGUAACUGACUGACUGCACUGUAUUGUAAGAAUUGUUUGCUCCCUCCUGCAUUUCAGAGCUAAAGAGGCAUGCUCUUUCUUAUGCAAAUAAAAUAUUUGUUUGUUUAAUGCACAACUUGUUUUCAUUGAAGUAUGCGUUUGUCUUAAAUUUAGAACAGUAUCACUAUUGUAGAGCUAACAUUAAGUUAAAAGCACUUGAAUUUAGAUUAGUUAUGAUACAAAAGCACUUCUUAUGAGUAAAACAAUGCAUAAUAUGAGUAUUUCCAGCUAACUUCAAGACAUUUUUUAUCCUAAAAUGCUUAAAUAAUCACUUUUUAAUCUUAUUUCAAGUUGGUGGUGGUCUAAAAUCUAGGACAAUGUCACUAUUUUAGAACUUUAAAUGAGUUAAAUACACUUGAAAUAAGAGGGAUGCCAUGAACAGUGAAAAAAUAAAAAGCUACUUUUGAGCAUUUCAAGCUUAUUAUGAUACACAACACUUUCUAAUACUAGUAAAAUAUAGCUCAAAAUAAGUUUACCUGGCUAAUUUCAAGAUCAAUUCCUAUCUCAAAAGUCCUAAAUAUUACAUCUUAUUUCAAGAAAUCUUGACAAGCCGAUUUUCACUAGUUCCAUUGGCAGAUUUUUUUGCUUAUUUCAAGCAAAAACGUCUCGUAUUUGUUGUUUUUUUACUUAUUUUUGGAGGGGCAUUUUUUCCAGUG